GACUCAUAUUAGAAGUCUCCCCACAAGUAUUUGAUUCUUCAUAUUUGAAGGUAGUCCUAUCCAGCUAGUCGACGCGUGUAAGCUUUUUAUUGGCCGCAUUUAUAUGUCGCUUCACAUGUGCUUGAUUUCAACAUUGAUGCCUCGUUCUCUCCCACAUAUUUAUUGCUCUUCAUUAUUGCCUUUACUUUUAAACCGUAAUUUCCCCAUCUUCUCUCAUUUUUGCCUUAUCUUUGCUUGCGUAUCUACUUUCUACGUCUUCUUUUUCAGUGCUUUCAUUUCGCCAUUUCCAUUCUCAUCUUCAUAUUCCCAAGUGAUUUCACAUCCUUCCUCAUGAACUUUAUGGUUUUUAUUGAGAAUGAUUUAGAUCAGCUAGUCAUCUUCUUCCUUCCCUACCCUAGAGUCUGUAUGCACUCUAUAAACAACUCCUCUAUAAAUUCGUCCUUGAAUUAAUUCUUCCAAUUCCUUUUACAACCAAAUACAUGCUCCUGCUCUAGUCAUGCCUUCGAGGGAAAACCAUAGUGACGGAGAAAGCCUGAUUAUUCACGAUACUCACUCAAUUAUAAUAAAAAGGCAUCUGGAGCAUUUAACGACAAUUUAUCAAAUCUUGAAUGACUUGUUUAAGGUUCUAGCUCCAAGGUCCAACGUAUGUGCCAACUGAGUAGCCCCUGAGGACACCAUAAUUGUUUAUAAGGAACAAAUGAGGCAGGGUUAAGGUUCCUUAUGGACCUUUUUUUAUCCAAGAUUUGGCCUUCUACAAGCUUUAUGUUGUCCAAAUUCACUCCAAUUGCUAGAGGUUUCUAUGUCAACUAAAGAGAUGGAAAAAUAAGUCCUUUCUCGUGAGGCACCGAGUCUCACAAGGUUUGGCAGCCUUCAAACUGAGUGGAAUUUUCCUUACAAAGCUUCAAAAGGAGGGUAAAAACCAUACCCAAGAAGAAAUUGAGUCGAUUGAGUGCUUGAAGAAACUUGCCACACAAAGGAAGCUUUAUGUAACGGUAGGAGUAAGGAAAGUUACGCUGCUAUGGUUAAGUCAACAGGAGGCAGAAAGGGCAAGGGAUUCCAGACCAACCACCCAGGCUAUGGAUCCCUACUGAUUACUUGGGCAAGAGCCCCCAAGACAAGGGUAUGGCUAGAGGAAAAAAGAAGAUGGGCUGAGUCUGUUCAUGCCGCAAGAAAAGACAAAGCCCCUGCCACCCAGAAUGCUCCUUGUCCCAAGCAUCCUUAGGGCGCAGGAAUAAUGAUUGAGCUGUAAGAAAAUCGGCCACUUCCUCCUUGUCCUCAACAAACUAAUCUUUCCUUAUUGCCUAAGAAACUAUCAAAAGUCCUCCUUCACCUCCUCCACCGCCUCCGAUUCCAAGACCAAGGCAACCUGAGGCAGUAGGGUCUUCUUCCAAGCUAAUGAGCAUUAAAAAGCUAGCAGAUGUGUGCACCCGAGUUGAUUGCCUUCUCGAUACUCCUAAGCUUUCCUCCCUAAUAGCCAAGAUAGUAAUGUUACAUGGUGACCAAAAUUGUUUGGCAAUCGAGAUGGACGAUCUAUUUCUACAUGGGGUUGAUACCUCAAUGGAGAUUGUUUUAACUCGCAGAUGGCAAGGGAGAGAGAAAAAGCUAUGAAGAAUGAGUUCGGGACUUCCAAAUAUGGAGAAGUAUUUUGAUGGAAGAGAGUCAAGGUUUGAAGGCUUGAGUGGAGGAGAUCAAGACAAUAAUAAAUGAGACUAUGAAGUCUGUUGAGAAGUUGCAAGUUAAUCUUCUACGAGCAGAUUCUUAAAAAGUUGAGUUCAAUAGGAGAGCAAGGCCAACAGAGGAGAGGUCGCAGGGGCUGGAAGGGAGGAUUAGAGAGUUUGAGGUCCAGCUAAAGGAGUCUUGCGCUACUACUGCUAGGGUCCCCCAACUUGAACAUGAGCUAGAUAAGAGUGUAUCCUAGGCUGGCAGGCUCUAAGUUGAAACUCAAGAGGCUGUGAAGCCAAUUAAGGACUUAAGCUGGAUUGAUGACUUAGUCCCUGAAGACGAUGAAGAUACUAAGAUCCUCAAUUUCCUCUAAAGUUGAAUUCCUUAGGCCUCAUGAUUCAAACAUAAAUGAUGUAAAUAUAAAUGCCUCUUGCACUGCGGUUAGGGAGGAGGGAAACAAGGACCCUCCUGCCUAGUAGCUGUAGACAUUUAUUAAUGAAAUAUUUUUCAUUUUUCGAAUCUUUUAGCUUCUUGUUUUUAAGAACUCAUAUCCUAACUAAUAAAGUAUUUUAGAGUUUAACACCUA